rnacentral:tRNA from 1 species
GGGCCUGUAGCUCAGUUUGGUUAGAGCGCGCGCUUGAUAAGCGUGAGGUCGGAAGUUCAAGUCUUCCCAGGCCCA